rnacentral:misc_RNA from 1 species
GAUGAAGAACGUAGCGAAAUGCGAUACGUAAUGUGAAUUGCAGAUUUCAGUGAAUCAUCGAAUCUUUGAACGCACAUUGCGCCCGCUAGUAUUCUGGCGGGCAUGCCUGUUCGAGCGUCAUUUCAACCAUCAAGCCCUAGGCUUGCGUUGGAGCCCUGCAGCUGCCGCAGGCUCCCAAAUCCAGUGGCGGGCUCGUCGUCGUACCGAGUGCAGUAAACAUCCUCGCUCAGGGAACGUGACGGGUUCUUGCCGUGAAACCCCCCACAUAUCAAGGUUGACCUCGGAUCAGGUAGGAAUACCCGCUGAACUUAAGCAUAUCAAUAAGCGGAGGA